CCCGCAUCCUGUACACAGUGUUCGGGGACAAGGAGUUAACGGAGCCCAUGACCGUGCUGCUGCUGAACUGCGCGAACACCGACGGCUCUGGGGAGUUUUUCGGCGUGGCGGUGAUUUUGUAAGAGCUCGCGCCUGUAUUUUAUUGUUCUGGGAGAAGUGAGUGUUCACGUAUGCCCCCUCCCUCUGUCAGGGAGAGAGAGAGAGGACCUAUCAGCACUGAAGGACGACACAGGAUCAUUGUCAUGUUGGAAGUUGAAUGACCUGCCCAUCUUCAGCUGUCUAGCAGAGGGACACAGGUUUUCCUGAAGAAUUUGGAUGUACUUGCAGCAUCCAUUUUCCCUUCAAUCCUGACCAAUUGCCCAGUCCCCGCUGAAGAGAAACACCCUCACAACAUAAUGCUGCCACCACCAUGCUUCACAGUAGAAAUAUUGAUGUCUUGAAGAUUGAAGCACUGGAAAAAGCAGGUAGACUACAGGAGGAACCAUAGUUGACCUGCAACAGAGGCUUAUAGGAUGGAUGAGCCGGAAUAGAAGGGGCAGGAUGUGUGCUAUUUAAGAAAAAAUUCCCCAAGUUUCCCACUGAAACAACAAAGGACACUAUUUCUAUACUUUGCUUUCCACUGCUGCAAGCAUACACUUUCUAUGACAUACAGAAUAAUUAAACAAAUGUCUGUAGCUGGCACUUUUGUUGGUUGGCUCAGUGUUGAUGCUGUGGAUCGUUGGCCCAAUGCUGGCUCUUCUCCGAAGGCUUCCAGACUGGCUGAACUGAGAUGUGUCCACAGGAAAUGCUCUC